rnacentral:rRNA from 1 species
UACGUAGGGGGCUAGCGUUGUCCGGAAUCAUUGGGCGUAAAGAGCGUGUAGGCGGUCCGGUAAGUCCGCUGUGAAAGUCGGGGGCUCAACCCUCGAAUGCCGGUGGAUACUGUCGGGCUAGAGUGCGGAAGAGGCGAGUGGAAUUCCUGGUGUAGCGGUGAAAUGCGCAGAUAUCAGGAGGAACACCUGAGGUGAAGACGGGUUGCUGGGCCGACACUGACGCUGGAGCGCGAAAGCCAGGGGAGCGAACGGG